rnacentral:rRNA from 1 species
GACGAACGCUGGCGGCGUGCCUAAUACAUGCAAGUAGAACGCACAGUUUAUACCGUAGCUUGCUACACCAUAGACUGUGAGUUGCGAACGGGUGAGUAACGCGUAGGUAACCUGCCUGGUAGCGGGGGAUAACUAUUGGAAACGAUAGCUAAUACCGCAUAAUAUUGAUUAUUGCAUGAUAAUUGAUUGAAAGAUGCUAUUGCAUCACUACCAGAUGGACCUGCGUUGUAUUAGCUAGUAGGUGAGGUAACGGCUCACCUAGGCGACGAUACAUAGCCGACCUGAGAGGGUGAGCGGCCACACUGAGACUGAGACACGGCCCAGACUCCUACGGGAGGCAGCAGUAGGGAAUCUUCGGCAAUGGACGAAAGUCUGACCGAGCAACGCCGCGUGAGUGAAGAAGGUUUUCGGAUCGUAAAGCUCUGUUGUAAGAGAAGAACGGGUGUGAGAGUGGAAAGUUCACACUGUGACGGUAUCUUACCAGAAAGGGACGGCUAACUACGUG